UCUCUAAGAAGGCAUUAGCACUAGUACAAGACUUUCCUCUACUGGCGGUGUUUGACGUAAUGUGUAUGCAAUUACAACAUAUACAUAAUUGGAACAAAGUAAAUAUGUGAACUUUCUCAAUUUUUACUUGGCUCCUAUCUUUGCAUGAAUACGAGUGGCUAUGUAAGCUACCUAUUUGAACACCAUCCAUUCAAGCACCCCUAUCCGUGCAUACAAUAACCGUUUGGACAUAUACAUGGGCUGACAGUACAAUCCUAACCACCUCACCACAAAAUAGAACCAUUCUAUAAGUUCCAAUGAAAUUGCCUCACCAAUCCACUAACCUUGGUUCCUCUCAAAGGCCGACAUAUCUCCCUUGAAAUAUCUUCCUCGACUGAAGUCGCUUGAGUCAUCAAUUUCUACCGCAAUCUCUCCAAUGAAAAGAAACAACACCUUUUCCAGAAUUGUUCCA
rnacentral:lncRNA from 1 species